rnacentral:piRNA from 1 species
CUUUCUCACUGUCUGAGCUGAAGA